rnacentral:tRNA from 1 species
GAGGAAGUGGCUCAGUUGGUAGAGCAUUGGCCUGUCACGCCAAGGGUCGCGGGUUCAAGUCCCGUCUUUCUCG